rnacentral:rRNA from 1 species
GAUGAACGCUAGCGAUAGGCCUAACACAUGCAAGUCGAGGGGCAUCACAUGAAGUAGCAAUACGGAUGGUGGCGACCGGCGCACGGGUGAGUAACACGUAUGCAACCUGCCUUCAACAAGGGGAUAACCCGUUGAAAGACGGACUAAUACCCUAUAACACAGGGGUCCCGCAUGGGAAUAUUUGUUAAAGGACAACCGGUUGAAGAUGGGCAUGCGUUCCAUUAGCUAGUUGGCGGGGUAACGCCCACCAAGGCAACGAUGGAUAGGGGAACUGAGAGGUUUAUCCCCCACACUGGUACUGAGACACGGACCAGACUCCUACGGGAGGCAGCAGUGAGGAAUAUUGGUCAAUGGACGCAAGUCUGAACCAGCCACGUCGCGUGAAGGAAGACGGCCCUACGGGUUGUAAACUUCUUUUAUACGGGAAUAAAGUGCCCCACGCGUGGGGUUUUGCAUGUACCGUAUGAAUAGGAUCGGCUAACUCCGUGCCAGCAGCCGCGGUAAA